GAACUGAUCUUGUAUUCCCCUUAUAAUUGUACGAAACGGCCACCCCUACUGCCAAAACCCUUCUCAGAUUAUCCUUCUUUCCCUUCUCUCACCCUCCGCCACAAGCCGCCAUCAGAAAUUGCCCACAGCGGUUGCCAACCUCCAACUAGCCCCAAAUUACCACCAUAUAGUCCUUGCUUUCUCCUCAUAACCAUCCCACCUUUAGCUUCUUCCAAACAUCACUGAAUCCUUCGAAUUGUAGAUCUAGGAAUUAAACCCUAGCCGUCAUUCGGGUCUUCUUCAUUUUCUCGAUCGAUAUGUCCUAUUUUACGGUUGAGACUUACAUAAGUAGAAAGCUCUUGAUGAGAGCUAUCCAUUGAUAUAAGAUUCACUCUGUUUCUUGGAGGUCGGAUUUUGGUCAACUAGUCAUUGAUCGGCCAGAAUGUUUUCUGAGGUCACCUCUUUUGAUUCAUCUCGACAUCAAAUGGCUAUACAUUAUUAUGUAUGUCAGAGGAUUGUGAAUGGAGGUUUAAGGCAACUAGAAUUAACAAAUCACAAAUGUUCAAUGAUAAGCAUACAUGUCCGUUGGAGGAUAAGGUGUAUGAGCAAUGUCAAGCAAGUAGCAGUCUUAUCGGUGGUAUGAUUAGGUCCAAACUUACUAAUCAUAAAAGGAAAUACACCCCAAAGGAUAUAAUUUAUGAUGUGAAAUCAGAUUUUGAUGUAGAUGUUAGUUACAUGUUGGCGUGGCGGGUUAAAGAAAAGGCAAUGAAUUUUUUGAUAGGUGAACCAGUUGAUUCAUACAAUAAAUUACCAGGAUAAUUAUAUACAAUGGAUAUGACAUAUCCUGGUUCGCACAUUAGAAUGGUAAAAUCGCCGAACAAUGAGUUCAUGUAUGUGUAUAUAUCUUUGAAUGCCUUUAUAAAGGGUUUCGAUCAUUGUAGACCCAUUGUGGUUGUGGAUGGAAGCCACUUAAAAUCGUAUUACACCAGGACAUUCGUCUCGGCCAGCACGUUGGAUGGUGCAGGUCAUAUGUUGCCACUAGCAUAUGGUGUUAUUGAUUCAGAGAACGAUGCUGCUUGGUAGUGGUUCUUUGAGCAAUUCAAGGAAGCAUAUAGUGAGAGGGAAAACAUGUACAUCGUUUCAGAUAGGAAUGAGAGUAUCAUCAAAUCUAUAUCAAGAGUGUAUCCAGCGGUACCACAUUUUGCUUGUAUAUGGCAUCUAUGGAACAACGUAUAUAAGAAAUUCAAAAAGAGUCAUUCAAAAUUGAGUGAGGAAGAUGUUUGGACGUUGGAAUUGCAGCAAUCGGAAAGAAGCUUCACUGACAUACACAACGCUUGAAAAACAAUACCAGGAUAUGCUUACCUUGAAUGAUGCAAUAUCUAGAUGCAUGACUGCAAGUUAUUUUUUUAUAAGUCAUUGUAUCCUAUAUUUAUCCAUGGUACAAGGUGUAUUUAUUUCUGAUACUAUUUCUACUAUUCAAAAUACAGAACUUAUGUUAAUUGUAUUGUUAGUUGAAUUUAAUGGUUUUAUU